rnacentral:lncRNA from 1 species
UCCACUGAACAGCACUUUGGUCAGUUUAUACUGUGUUUAAAUGUGCUUUAUAAAUUAAAUUUACUUACUUACUUACUUACUUAAAUGCGCAAGGAUUAUUUCAGAAAAACCUGGAAACACAAGUAACAUGUGAAAGCACCUCACCAAGUGUUCAGAAAGCUUCAGGGUAUACAGCGUAUUCAGAAAUAUUGAUAUUACUUAAGGGCACUGGUAUUGGUACUGGUAUCAUAAUUUAAACGAUACCCAGCCCUAAUCCUCAGGGCAACAAGUCUAAGAAGACAUCAGAUAGGUCGAUAUUGCAGAAAGGCUUGGGUUUGGAGUAGUGGAAUGAAAGCCGUAUCGACCCACAGAGCAAUGAUCUGAGGCUGAUGUUACUCCAGCCGACAGAUUUCCCAGCAGCACUUGCUCUUGAAGAGUCCUAAAAACAGCACAGAUGUGAAUCUUUCCAUUCCACCUUGACCUUUCGCUGAAUAUCGUGUAGCACAUCAGGAUGCCAUUUACUCUCUCGGCUGGUGAAAUAUUUAAACCGUGGGAGAAGGCUGCUUAAAGUGCAGAGCCCAUUCCUCGCCCCGGUCUUUUCUGAGAGAAAUAUGACAGAGGCCGGAGCCAACAGCGCUGCAUCUAUUUUGAUGUGAGCCAUAAAUGAAACAUGGCAGUGCAGUAGUGGAGCCUGGACAAAUAUGGACCAACAAAGAGCAUUUUGCCAUUAAAAUCACGAGGAGGGACAGGAGAAGCGCAGGCAGAGGAAUAGUGAUGGAUGGUUUUCCUAAUACUCCUUGGAGCAACUGACCACGGUCUAGCUGGCCUCUAUCUAUCAGAGAGAGGAAUUCUCCGGUGGUGAGUCAUCUUGGGGUGGUUCCCUCUGUGUCUUUACAUACUUCACGUACAGAAAAACAUAGCAAAUAGCACACAGUACUAUUCAUUGCCUUUCAUGUGACUCAUACCUGAGGUGAUCUGACCUGGUUAUUGUGCGCUAAACACUGCCCGUCUUAGUUACUGUUGCUACACCUCUAAAGCUUUCUAUUUGAGUACUGCAUUGUACAAAGUUUACACUGAUAACAGCAACACAGUUAUUUUUUUAUUUAAAUGGGUCCUUAAUUAUAGAUCUAAGUAGAGAAGAACAAGUGUCUCGUCUUAAGCUACUGGCUGUUCAAGUUGUCAUCUGAAGUAACAACUGGCUUGAAGAUUUUAUUAUUAGAUUAUUAUAUUAGCUGUAGCUAGCUAAUUAGAACUAACACCAUGAAAUUGACGAAACCUCUAUCUCCAUCUGACUGUUCGAUGUUUCCAGCUCACUGAUGUAGUGCUAAAAGAUUGAGACUAAAGCUAUCUGUGCCAAGAAAGUCAGGAUCCUCACCAGUAAAUAAUCCCUAUACAUUUCAAAUGUGCAGCCCUGUUCUUGUUAGGCCUUUUAUUAUUGUGCAGUAUUAUAAAUUAAAAUGUAAAGGUUGGAUUCUGCUUCAUUGUUCAUACUUUCAAACAUUUAAAAUAUAUGAGAAUGGCCUUUGAGGAUGAGAACUAACUGAUUCAUUUGAUGUAUUGCUAUCUUCAAUAACGACAUUGGCUGGGGUUGCUAGAGUUUAAACUUAAACCUUAAAUCCAGUAAAGAGCGAUACAUAUAUAAGUCAACCUACAAAGUAAUAGCUACUGAUAUAACUUUAUCUAUCUAUUUAUCUUUUUAUCUACCUUAUCUAUUAUCUUUUCUACCUCAGUAUUUUAUUCUAUUGUUGUAUUUUAUUCUAUUUAAAUGUACCUUUUUACAGGUACAUUUUCAGCUUAUGUUUCACACCAUUUAAUCUAUUUGUUUUUAACAUUUCAGAAGACAUUUUGGAAAGCCAUUAAGAUAGAAUGUUAGUCUAGAGCCAAAUACGCAACGCUUUGGUAUGUGGCUAAAUCCAGAAUCUCAGUUCGGGGUAGGGGUUUAGUGAACAAUCAGUGAAGAGAGUGCUAGAUUACAUGUUUUUUCUUCUUCAGUUCCCCUGGUUCCAUGUAUGAGGGUGCCAUGUGAGCACAUGGAAGACAUAAUUUGAUUUUUCCCAAAUAGGCCAUAGCUGAAUGUGGGCUGCUCCAGACACAUAUGACAGAGCUUUGAAAGUCCACAGAGCCACGUCAUAACUGCCUAAUCAGUGUAAUUCCUCUCUCAUAUCUUCAUGUCCUGAUAGGACACAACAGGAGGCCUGCACAGCAACAGCAAAGUUGCACUAAACAUUAAUGGUUUAAGGGUCUGGUCUUCCUUAUAUCAACCACCCCUGCCUACCUCCCUCCCUCUUCCCUGAUUCUGUAUCACUAUUGCAAUUUCUGAGUGAAAGUUAGCCUGG